UUAAUUGGAGAGUUUGAUCCUGGCUCAGAAUGAACGCUGGCGGCGUGCUUAACACAUGCAAGUCGUACGAGAAAGCUUUAGCUUGCUAGAGCGAGUAAAGUGGCGCACGGGUGAGUAACGCGUGGGUAAUCUGCCUUCGAAUUUGGGAUAACACCCCGAAAGGGGUGCUAAUACCGGAUAAUAUCUUUUUCAUUGAGGUGGGAGAGAUCAAAGACAGCCUCUACAUGUAAGCUGUUGUUUGGAGAUGAGCCCGCGUACCAUUAGCUAGUUGGUGGGGUAAUGGCCUACCAAGGCGACGAUGGUUAGCUGGUCUGAGAGGAUGAUCAGCCACACUGGAACUGGAACACGGUCCAGACUCCUACGGGAGGCAGCAGUGAGGAAUUUUGCGCAAUGGGGGAAACCCUGACGCAGCAACGCCGCGUGAGUGAUGAAGGAUUUCGGUUCGUAAAGCUCUGUCAAGUGGGAAGAAUCUAUCCAAUGUGAACAGCAUUGGGUACUGACGGUACCACUGAAGGAAGCACCGGCUAACUCCGUGCCAGCAGCCGCGGUAAUACGGAGGGUGCAAGCGUUAUUCGGAUUUACUGGGCGUAAAGGGCGCGUAGGCGGCCGAACAAGUCAGAUGUGAAAGCCCGGGGCUCAACCCCGGAAGUGCAUUUGAAACUGUUUGGCUUGAGUAUGGUAGAGGGAAGUGGAAUUCCUGGUGUAGCGG
rnacentral:rRNA from 1 species